UACGGAGGGGGCUAGCGUUGUUCGGAAUUACUGGGCGUAAAGCGCACGUAGGCGGCUUUGUAAGUUAGAGGUGAAAGCCCAGGGCUUAACCCUGGAAUUGCCUUUAAGACUGCAUCGCUAGAAUCGUGGAGAGGUGAGUGGAAUUCCGAGUGUAGAGGUGAAAUUCGUAGAUAUUCGGAAGAACACCAGUGGCGAAGGCGGCUCACUGGCCCGGAACUGACGCUGAGGAGCGAAAGCGUGGGGAGCGAACAGGA
rnacentral:rRNA from 1 species